CCGCACACGUUAUGGCUUCUUUGAAGUUCAGGUUCCUGAUCUAUACAAUGAUGUGGGGUUCCCCUCUGUAUGCUGUGAAUAUGUCUUAUAGAAGUUGCUUUGGCCCAUCGCAGGGUGGAAUAGAGCUAGGUGGGAAAACUAAACUGAAGGCAGAGAGAAAGAAGAUGGAGUCAGGGAGAUGCCAUGUACCUGCCGAAGGAGAGGGACACCAGAACAUUACUGCUCACUAUUCUCCAAGGGAGCAACUUGGAGAUGAUUAAGGCAGGACCCUCAAAAUGAAAUUCACGUCCUUGGAAAGCAGUCUGAGAGAUUGAGCUUGCCCUUGGGGUUGUGUGAUGUCACAAUCAGGGGUUGCUACCCUUGAAGGAGAAAGAAGAAGCCCUCAGCAGAUGAGGAAUCUGCAGGCACAUGAUCUUAUUUUCCCAGGGCCAGGACUGUGAGCAAUGCGUCUCUGUAGUUUCUAAACGUCUCGGGGUGACAAAGGACUGGUCCUGGA